UGCACGCUCGCUGAUGUUGCGCAGAUACAUUUCUGUCUCACCUGCUGCCUUUCAUGGAGAAGUUCGGUUCGGUAGUUUCCGGCAGCUCCCGGUGAAUUCCGGCAGCUUCGGGCCGCAGCAGGUCCAGCCAUCUUUCUGCUGUGCACGCGCCUCUGCACGCCCCUUGUCAACCGCGCACGGACAACAGAGUGACCAAUCAGAGCUCAGAGACGUCGGCCGCUUCCUUGUUCCUCCAAUAGGAAACGUCGGGGACCACGUCCUUCUCACCGCCACCGGAGCAAAAACAACCGACGAAGGCGGGGCUAGAAGGCAGGAUAAUCCGGGAUGAGACCGUUAGCUGCUGGAAGAGGACGGUUCCGAAAAAAGACCAGAAAGGGUCAAAGGUCGCUGUGACGUCAGUAGGAGAUAACCACACACACACACACCCCCUCACACCAAGUACGGGCACCUCGGUGCUGUCUUCACCUCACCAUCGGCUGUGACUUCAUCUCCCGUUUACCUGCUAUUGUUCUAUCAAUAAACCUUCUAAGCUGCA